CAGCAGCCGCCGCGGUAACACGUAGGGUGCGAGCGUUAAUCGGAAUUACUGGGCGUAAAGCGUGCGCAGGCGGUUCGUUAAGACAGAUGUGAAAUCCCCGGGCUUAACCUGGGAACUGCAUUUGUGACUGACGGGCUAGAGUAUGGCAGAGGGGGGUAGAAUUCCACGUGUAGCAGUGAAAUGCGUAGAGAUGUGGAGGAAUACCGAUGGCGAAGGCAGCCCCCUGGGCCAAUACUGACGCUCAUGCACGAAAGCGUGGGGAGCAAACAGGAUUAGAUACCCCCGUAGUCCCUGUCUCUUAUAC
rnacentral:rRNA from 1 species